GUUGUUUUUUCCUGAAUAAAAAAUAGGUUUGAUUUGUAUUAUGUUUAAAAGAAGGGACUGCUGAUCUAAAUGAGCUUUUGGGAAAGCUAGCGUACUUCUCAAGGGACAACGCCCCCUCUGCCUCGUUUGGAACACGGACACCUGUUUGUUGUUAUUGCCCUCACCUGUGUUUCCAAUCAGUGAUUGGUAAUGAAAACACCAACGUGUCCUGGAGUUGAAGUCCUCAAGCAUUAUACUGGGAAUUUCACCUCAGUAUGUGUUAAAAAGUACAUAUAAAUAGCAAUUUACAAAAACUACAAUGGACACCAACAACUGACACUAUGCCAAAGGAACUUGUCAACAAGUGCUAUUUUCCCACAACUUGGCAGAGCCAAACUGCAGUCUACCCAUGACAGCGAAUGGCCAAUGAGUUUACUCUUUGAUGGACAGAACCUGCUCCACCCUCCUCCCGCCCACACAAACCACUCAUCAGAACCAGUCAUCAGAACCAGUCAUCAGAACCACUCAUAAGAACCACUCAUCAGAACCAGUCAUCAGAACCACUCAUCAGAACCACUCAUCAGAACCAGUCAAUGUCAAGCCUGACAAAGAUGUAAAGCGACCGGGCCAGGCCUUGGAGAGACAGGGCCGCAUGGGGCACGGUCAGGACACCUGACGCAGGCAGGCAGACAGGCCUGACGUAGAGGAGGAACAUGAGGAGGAACAUUUCACGCACACAAGGACAAAGAUUUAAAAAAAAAAAACAUCCAUGCACCAAAGGACUCAAGCACACAGAAGCAUGCCCAUAAUGAGUUGCAUGAAUGGUGAGUCAAUUAUUCUCCAGGAUUAGUAUGUAACUGAAUAGCAGUGUACAUAGACUUAAUUAGG
rnacentral:lncRNA from 1 species